rnacentral:rRNA from 1 species
AUACGAAAGGGGCUAGCGUUGUUCGGAAUUACUGGGCGUAAAGCGCACGUAGGCGGCAUUGUAAGUUGGGGGUGAAAUCCCAGGGCUCAACCCUGGAACUGCCUCCAAAACUAAAGAGCUAGAGGAUGUGAGAGGAUAGUGGAAUUCCGAGUGUAGAGGUGAAAUUCGUAGAUAUUCGGAAGAACACCAGUGGCGAAGGCGACUGUCUGGCACAUUUCUGACGCUGAGGUGCGAAAGCGUGGGGAGCGAACAGGAUUAGAUACCCUAGUAGUCC